GAACCUGCGGAAGGAUCAUUAACGAAUUUGGUGGGCUGUCGCUGGCUAGGUGAUUCUAGCAUGUGCA
rnacentral:rRNA from 1 species